UCAUCGAUCAUAGUGCACCGGGAUUUUAUCAAAAAAGAGUAAAAGUUGGGGAAAGGUGCCAUCACAUUUUUUGUACUGAUAGACAGAUGCAACUACUCGCACGCGCAAAAACUUGGUAUAUGGAUGCAACUUUUCGGGUGGUGAACAAGCCAUGGUCUCAGCUGUUUUCCAUACACGCCUUCAUUAAGACUGGAGAGACCACCCGACAGUUACCAUUGGUGUUUUGUGUAAUGUCGGGUAAAAGCCAAGACGACUAUUAUAAGUUUCCAUAUUAGAUGCCAUAGCAAAUCAAAGAUCAUAUAAUAAAAUAAGUCAAAAAACCCAAAUAUGGAAAAAGAAAGAGCUGAAGAAAUGGUGAUUUGAGCACCUAUGCUUUCUCAUAGGUGUUUUUGGAGGUUAACUACAUCAGAAAGAUCAAGACAGUUGGAAAUGGCUAUUCAUAUUAUGGAAACUUUUUCUCACAGAGCUUGAUAAUCAGGUAAAAUGCUGGAAGAUUAUUUGAUGUAUGAUAACAACAAGAGAUCCCAAGCAUCAAUUUAUUUUAUAAUUCUGGAAAAGAAUGCAUUUGACCCAAUUUUUGAAUAUUUUUUUUUGUUUUUACUGUUAAAUAUUCAUCCCAAACACAAUUAGAUUUUAAUUCUCUACAGAAAUUUAUGUAUAAUAUAGAAUGUAAAGUGACAUAUAAAUCACUUAGAAUUUGGUCGGAAAUCAUAAAGUAUUUAAUAGGCAUAGUCUAGAAACCAAAUGUAGAUCAAAUAUACCCAGAAUUACAAAAAACCUUGACCUACAUUAAGGUGACUUUCCCUUGCUUAUGAAAUGAAAUAGGGUUUAAUAUCCUACUUUUCUGUGUUAUUAUGGUGAUUCUGCCCUACAACCUACUCUUAUAUCAAAUAUUUCAACUGUCACGGGUUGUUUAAAGGGAAUCCAGGAGGGCCGAAUGGUUAACACACGCACAUUGGAUCAGAAGGGUCUGUCAUUGAGUCAGAUAAUUCAAUUGUCAAGGGUUCUUUAAAGUAAACGCAGUGGGGGUAGUUUCAAUUCUGGGCUUAUACCCAAUUAUCCCUUGCCAUGUCCUACACUACUGACGUGUGGGAACUAUGUCGGAAAAUCCAGUUGAAAUUUCUCGGCCAAUGCACUCACUGAACCACAGUGGCUCCUCCUUGCUUUUGACUUGUGAUUAUUUAUAUAUAUUUUGUACAUAUUAUUUAAUGUUUGCGAUUUUCUCUGAUAUUUUUUUAUUUUUCAAUCCUGUAAUCUUGAUGCUUUGCUCCUUUUAUGUACAAAAUAUUCAUUUUGUUUGAGGAAAAGGUUCUACAUCAUUUUAUUACUCCUGCAAAAUAGUGCAUUUUUCUUUUGUUAGUUUUCUGUGUAUGCUAGUUAUUUCUAGAUGCCUCACAAAUCACUUGUAAUAUGACUUUGUAGCACUUUUCAGUUUCUGAAAGUAUUUCAAUUUAGUGCAUAAUUAAUCUAAUUAGGGCUUGGUUUGGAUGUUAUUAAAUUUAGAUAUAUUUGAAUUAUAUAUUUUUGGGGUAUGGGGUAGGGAUCUUUCUUUUCUCAGUUCUUGUUUUCGGGUAAAGAAAAAAUUAAAUAGCUAUUUUGUAUUUUGUGAU